AACGAACGCUGGCGGCAUGCCUAACACAUGCAAGUCGAACGGGAUCAGGGAGCUUGCUCCCUGUGAGAGUGGCGCACGGGUGCGUAACACGUAUGCAACCUACCUUCAACUGGGGGAUAGCCUUCCGAAAGGAAGAUUAAUACCGCAUAACAUAAUUGAAUGGCAUCAUUUGAUUAUCAAACGUCAGGGUUGAAGAUGGGCAUGCGUCCGAUUAGCUAGUUGGUGUGGUAACGGCACACCAAGGCGACGAUCGGUAGGGGAUCUGAGAGGAUGACCCCCCACACGGGUACUGAGACACGGAACAGGCGCCUACGGGAGGCAGCAGUAAGGAAUAGUGGUCAAUGGACGCAAGUCUGAACCAGCCAUGCCGCGUGCAGGAAGACGGUCCUCUGGAUUGUAAACUGCUUUUGUUAGGGAAGAAACCCUCGGAUGCGUCCGGGGCUGACGGUACCUAAAGAAUAAGGAUCGGCCAACUCCGUGCCAGCCGCCGCAGUAAAAC
rnacentral:rRNA from 1 species